GUCAGGCAGUGGGAUAGUUCAGGUAGUGGGAUGGUUCAGGUAGUGGGAUGGUUCAGGUAGUGGGGUGGUUCAGGUAGUGGGGUGGUUCAGGAAGUGGGAUGGUUCAGGAAGUGGGAUGGUUCAGGUAGUGGGAUGGUUCAGGUAGUGGGAUGGUUUUAGGUAGUGGGAUGGUUCAGGUAGUGGGAUGGUUCAGGCAGUGGGAUAGUUCAGGUAGUGGGAUAGUUCAGGUAGUGGGAUGGUUCAGGUAGUGGGUGGUUCAGGUAGUGAGGUGGUUCAGGUAGUGGGGGUGGUUCAGGUAGUGGGAUGGGUCAGGCAGUGGGAUAGUUCAGGUAGUGGGAUGGUUCAGGUAGUGGGGUGGUUCAGGUAGUGGGAUGGUUCAGGUAGUGGGAUGGGUCAGGUAGUGGGAUGGGUCAGGCAGUGGGAUAGUUCAGGUAGUGGGAUGGUUCAGGUAGUGGGGUGGUUCAGGUAGUGAGGUGGUUCAGGUAGUGGGGUGGUUCAGGUAGUAGGAUGAUUCAGGUAGUGGGGUGGUUCAGGUAGUGGGGUGGUUCAGGUAGUGGGUGUGGUUCAGGUAGUGGGGUGGUUCAGGUAGUGGGGUGGUUCAGGUAGUGGGGUGGUUUAGGUAGUGAGGUGGUUCAGGUAGUAGGAUGGUUCAGGUAGUGAGGUGGUUCAGGUAGUGGGAUGGUUCAGGUAGUGGGAUGGUUCAGGUAGUGGGAUGGUUCAGGUAGUGGAGUGGUUCAGGUAGUGGGAUGGUUCAGGUAGUGGGGUGGUUCAGGUAGUGGGAUGGUUCAGGUAGUGGAGUGGUUCAGGUAGGGGG